GGCGCUAUAGCCAAGUGGUUACGGCGACAGAUUAGAAUAUUCAUUGUCAGAUCUGUUCCUCUUUGAGGGCGCAGGUUCAAAUCCUGCUGGCGUCG
rnacentral:tRNA from 1 species